UUGGAGGGCAAGUCUGGUGCCAGCAGCCGCGGUAAUUCCAGCUCCAAUAGCGUAUAUUAAAGUUGUUGCAGUUAAAAAGCUCGUAGUUGAACCUUGGCUCUGGCUGGCCGGUCCGCCUCACCGCGAGUACUGGUCCGGCUGGAGCUUUCCUUCUGGGGAACCUCAUGGCCUUCACUGGCUGUGGGGGGAACCAGGACUUUUACUGUGAAAAAAUUAGAGUGUUCAAAGCAGGCCUUUGCUCGAAUACAUUAGCAUGGAAUAAUAGAAUAGGACGUGCGGUUCUAUUUUGUUGGUUUCUAGGACCGCCGUAAUGAUUAAUAGGGAUAGUCGGGGGCGUCAGUAUUCAGCUGUCAGAGGUGAAAUUCUUGGAUUUGCUGAAGACUAACUACUGCGAAAGCAUUCGCCAAGGAUGUUUUCAUUAAUCAGGGAACGAAAGUUAGGGGAUCGAAGACGAUCAGAUACCGUCGUAGUCUUAACCAUAAACUAUGCCGACUAGGGAUCGGACGGGAUUCUAUUAUGACCCGUUCGGCGCCUUACGGGAAAC
rnacentral:rRNA from 1 species